rnacentral:misc_RNA from 1 species
GAUGAAGAACGUAGCGAAAUGCGAUAAGUAAUGUGAAUUGCAGAAUUCAGUGAAUCAUCGAAUCUUUGAACGCACCUUGCGCCCUUUGGACAUUCCGAAGGGCAUGCCUGUUUGAGUAUCAUGAACACCUCAACUCUCACGGCUUGUCCGUGAUGAGCUUGGACUUUGGGGGUCUUGCCGGCCUGUGGUCGGCUCCUCUCAAAUGGAUCAGCUUGCCAGUGUUUGGUGGCAUCACAGGUGUGAUAACUAUCUGCGCUUGUGGUUUUCCAUCAGAUAACCUUCAGUGAUAUGGAGGUUCGCUGGAGCUCACAAAUGUCUCUCCUUAGUGAGGACAGCUCUUUGAACGUUUGAUCUCAAAUCAGGUAGGACUACCCGCUGAACUUAAGCAUAUCAUAAGCGGAGGA